rnacentral:rRNA from 1 species
CCCUUAGAUGUUCUGGGCCGCACGCGCGCUACACUGACGAAUGCAACGAGCUUAUAACCUUGGCCGAAAGGUCUGGGUAAUCUCCAAAUUUCGUCGUGAUGGGGAUAGAUUAUUGCAAUUAUUAAUCUUCAACGAGGAAUGCCUAGUAAGCGCAAGUCAUCAGCUUGCGUUGAUUACGUCCCUGCCCUUUGUACACACCGCCCGUCGCUCCUACCGAUUGAAGUUUUCGGUGAAUUUACUGAAGAUCCCUUUUGAAGGUGGUUCGCCACUGGACGAAGUAUUCAAAAGUAAAUGAAUCGAAUGCUUUAGAGGAAGGAGAAGUCGUAACA